UGUGAAGUCUCUAAAAGCAAGGUGGCAACUACAACUGAGAAUUUAUGACUCUUGCAGCUGCUCUUCCAGACCAAAGGGACACUGUAGUCUGAGUUGGAAAGAUGAGGAAAUCUCCUUUUUCUGAACAUGUCAG
rnacentral:lncRNA from 1 species